GAUGCCAGGGUCGAAAGGUCUUUCACCCACAUGAGCUUGCUCAUAUGGGUGGGAAUGACUUUGAGACCCGCCCCGAUAUGAGCAUAAAAGUGAAGCGCUAGCUUCGCGAUAUGCGAAUAUCGGCAGGAUUGCGUGAGUGCGCAAGCACGGAGCAAUCCGUUGGCAUC
rnacentral:sRNA from 1 species